UGGCACUGUUCGUAACCUAUUAACAGCACCUUCCUGCUAAUGGGUUCCAUUCCAGUGCUACAUGAAACCCUAAGAUAAUAAAGGACUGGUUGGUUCUCUGCCUGUCUCCAUUAUUUUGGGGGGACAUCA